UACGUCGUGUGCAAGCGUUAAUCGGAAUUACUGGGCGUAGAGCGUGCGCAGGCGGUUAUAUAAGACAGAUGUGAAAUCCCCGGGCUCAACCUGGGAACUGCAUUUGUGACUGUAUAGCUAGAGUACGGCAGAGGGGGAUGGAAUUCCGCGUGUAGCAGUGAAAUGCGUAGAUAUGCGGAGGAACACCGAUGGCGAAGGCAAUCCCCUGGGCCUGUACUGAAGCUCAUGCACGAAAGCGGGGGGAGCACACAGGAGGCGAUAACACUGUAGUCC
rnacentral:rRNA from 1 species